rnacentral:tRNA from 1 species
GUUAAGAUAGUAAAAUUUUACAUUGAUAUUAAAAAUCAAAAAUGGAAAUUAAUUUUCCUCUUAAUA